rnacentral:rRNA from 1 species
AGCAGUAGCCGCGGUAAUACGUAGGUGGCAAGCGUUGUCCGGAAUUAUUGGGCGUAAAGCGCGCGCAGGCGGAUAGGUCAGUCUGUCUUAAAAGUUCGGGGCUUAGCCCCGUGAUGGGAUGGAAACUGCCAAUCUAGAGUAUCGGAGAGGAAAGUGGAAUUCCUAGUGUAGCGGUGAAAUGCGUAGAUAUUAGGAAGAACACCAGUGGCGAAGGCGACUUUCUGGACGAAAACUGACGCUGAGGCGCGAAAGCCAGGGGAGCGAACGGGAUUAGAUACCCCGUAGUCCCUGUCUCUUAUACAC